GUGCACAAAAAUGUAACCUGUCUGAACUUCACGUAUGUUGUUUUUAUUUAAUGUUGUUUUUAUAUAUUUUAAAUGUGUAACACCACUUGAGCCACGGUGAAACGUUUUGUGUAUAUGGUUGAAAUAACAAGAAAACACUUGAGUUAAGUUGAAUGCCUCGUUGUCUGUCUGUAAAUGGUAGGCGUGACUUGGGAGUGGACUC